rnacentral:rRNA from 1 species
AUUGAACGCUGGCGGCAGGCCUAACACAUGCAAGUCGAGCGGAUGAAGGGAGCUUGCUCCUGGAUUCAGCGGCGGACGGGUGAGUAAUGCCUAGGAAUCUGCCUGGUAGUGGGGGAUAACGUCCGGAAACGGGCGCUAAUGCCGCAUACGUCCUGAGGGAGAAAGUGGGGGAUCUUCGGACCUCACGCUAUCAGAUGAGCCUAGGUCGGAUUAGCUAGUUGGUGGGGUAAAGGCCUACCAAGGCGACGAUCCGUAACUGGUCUGAGAGGAUGAUCAGUCACACUGGAACUGAGACACGGUCCAGACUCCUACGGGAGGCAGCAGUGGGGAAUAUUGGACAAAGGGCGAAAGCCUGAUCCAGCCAUGCCGCGUGUGUGAAGAAGGUCUUCGGAUUGUAAAGCACUUUAAGUUGGGAGGAAGGGCAGUAAGUUAAUACCUUGCUGUUUUGACGUUACCAACAGAAUAAGCACCGGCUAACUUCGUG